UGAGUACGAGAUGCUACGGCAUCGAAGCAGUCUAUGUCAUACUUCCAAGAAAAGCUUGCAAUGUCAUAAACAAAUAAUGCCUGUACCAUAACCGACACAGGUGGGUAGGUAGAGUAUACUAAGGGGCGCGAGAUAACUCUCUCUAAGGAACUCGGCAAAAUGACUCCGUAACUUCGGGAGAAGGAGUGCCUUAUUUUUAUAAGGUUGCAAUAACAAGAUCCAAGCAACUGUUUACCAAAAACACAGGUCUCCGCUAAGUCGUAAGACGAUGUAUGGGGGCUGACGCCUGCCCAGUGCCAGAAGGUUAAAGAAGUUGGUUAGCAUUAGCGAAGCUGAUAACUGAAGCCCUGGUGAACGGCGGCCGUAACAAUAACGGUCCUAAGGUAGCGAAAUUCCUUGUCGGGUAAGUUCCGACCCGCACGAAAGGCGUAAUGAUUUGGAUACUGUCUCGGAGAGGGGCUCGGUGAAAUAGACUUGUCUGUGAAGAUGCGGACUACCUGCACCUGGACAGAAAGACCCUAUGAAGCUUUACUGUAACUUGAGAUUGAAAUUUGACUUUAUCUGCGCAGUAUAGGUGGGAGACGUUGAAAAUAUUCUUGCGGGAAUAUUGGAGUCAUCAGUGAGAUACCACUCUUAUAAUGUUAGAUUUCUAACUUUGUAUCAUUAUCUGGUCAAAGAACAGUUUCAGGCGGGCAGUUUGACUGGGGCGGUCGCCUCCCAAACGGUAACGGAGGCGCACAAAGGUUUCCUCUGAACGUGUAGAAAUCGUAUCUAGAGUGUAAAGGCAUAAGGAAGCUUGACUGUGAGACCUACAAGUCGAGCAGGGACGAAAGUCGGUCUUAGUGAUCUGACGGUGCUGAGUGGAAAGGCCGUCACUCAACGGAUAAAAGUUACUCUAGGAUAACAGGCUGAUCUCCCCCAAGAGUUCACAUCGACGGGGAGGUUUGGCACCUCGAUGUCGGCUCAUCGCAUCCUGGGGCGGUAGUACGUCCCAAGGGUUGGGCUGUUCGCCCAUGAAAGCGGUACGCGAGCUGGGUUCAGAACGUCGUGAGACAGUUCGGUCCAUAUCCGGUGUAGGCGUUAGAAUAUUGAGAGGAGCCUUCUUUAGUACGAGAGGACCGAGAAGGACAUACCUCUGGUGUACCAGUUAUCGUGCCAACGGUAAACGCUGGGUAGCCAUGUAUGGAGAGGAUAACCGCUGAAAGCAUCUAAGUGGGAAGCCCACCUCAAGAUAAGUAUUCUC
rnacentral:rRNA from 1 species